rnacentral:rRNA from 1 species
CCUACGGGAGGCAGCAGUGGGGGAUAUUGCACAAUGGGGGAAACCCUGAUGCAGCGACGCCGCGUGAGUGAAGAAGUAUCUCGGUAUGUAAAGCUCUAUCAGCAGGGAAGUAAAUGACAGUACCUGACCAAGAAGCCCCGGCUAACUACGUGCCAGCAGCCGCGGUAAUACGUAGGGGGCAGGCGUUAUCCGGAUUUACUGGGUGUAAUGGGAGCGUAGACGGUUAUGUAAGUACGGAGUGAAAGUCCGGGGCCCAACCCCGGGACUGCUUUGGAAACUGUGGAACUGGAGUACAGGAGGGGCAGGCGGAAUUCGUGGUGUAGCGGUGAAAUGCUUAGAUAUCACGAGGAACCCCGGCUGCGAAGGCGGCCUGCUGGACUGAAACUGACGUUGAGGCUCGAAAGCGUGGGGAGCAAACAGGAUUAGAUACCCGGGUAGUC